rnacentral:rRNA from 1 species
CAGCAGCCGCGGUAAUACGUAGGGUCCGAGCGUUGUCCGGAAUUACUGGGCGUAAAGAGCUCGUAGGUGGUUUGUCGCGUUGUUCGUGAAAACUCACAGCUCAACUGUGGGCGUGCGGGCGAUACGGGCAGACUAGAGUACUGCAGGGGAGACUGGAAUUCCUGGUGUAGCGGUGGAAUGCGCAGAUAUCAGGAGGAACACCGGUGGCGAAGGCGGUCUCUGGGCAGUAACUGACGCUGAGGAGCGAAAGCGUGGGGAGCGAACAGGAUUAGAUACCCGUGUAGUCCCUGUCUCUAUACAC